rnacentral:rRNA from 1 species
CACGUAGGCGGAUUGAUCAGUUGGGGUGAAAUCCCGGGGCUCAACCCCGGAACUGCCUUCAAUACUGUCAGUCUAGAGGUCGAGAGAGGUGAGUGGAAUUCCGAGUGUAGAGGUGAAAUUCGUAGAUAUUCGGAGGAGCACCAGUGGCGAAGGCGGCUCACUGGCUCGAUACUGACGCUGAGGUGCGAAAGCGUGGGGAGCAAACA